rnacentral:rRNA from 1 species
GAGACCUCUCGGAGCGUAAACUCCUUUUCUUAGGGAAGAAUUCUGACGGUACCUAAGGAAUAAGCACCGGCUAACUCCGUGCCAGCAGCCGCGGUAAUACGGAGGGUGCAAGCGUUACUCGGAAUCACUGGGCGGUAAAGGGCGCGUAGGCGGAUUAUCAAGUCUCUUGUGAAAUCUAAUGGCUUAACCAUUAAACCUGCUUGGGAAACUGAUUAGUUCUAGAGUGAAGGGAAGAGGGCAGAUGGAAUUGGUGGUGUAGGGGGUAAAAAUCCGUAGAUAUCAACCAAAGAAUACCCCAUUGCGAAGGCGAUCUGCUGGAACUCAACUGACCGCUAAGGCGCGGAAAGCGUGGGGGAGCAAACAGGAUUAGAUACCCUGGUAGUCCACGCCCCUAAACGAUGUACACUAGUUGUUGGGGUGCUAGUCAUCUCAGUAAUGCAGCUAACGCAUUAAGUGUACCGCCUGGGGAGUACGGUCGCAAGAUUAAAACUCAAAGGAAUAGACGGGGACCCGCACAAGCGGUGGAGCAUGUGGUUUAAUUCGAAGAUACGCGAAGAACCUUACCUGGGCUUGAUAUCCUAAGAACCUUUUAGAGAUAAGAGGGUGCUAGCUUGCUAGAACUUAGAGACAGGUGCUGCACGGCUGUCGUCAGCUCGUGUCGUGAGAUGUUGGGUUAAGUCCCGCAACGAGCGCAACCCACGUAUUUAGUUGCUAACGGUUCGGCCGAGCACUCUAAAUAGACUGCCUUCGUAAGGAGGAGGAAGGUGUGGACGACGUCAAGUCAUCAUG